rnacentral:rRNA from 1 species
GACGAACGCUGGCGGCGUGCUUAACACAUGCAAGUCGAACGGAAAGGCCCUGCUUUUGUGGGGUGCUCGAGUGGCGAACGGGUGAGUAACACGUGAGUAACCUGCCCUUGACUUUGGGAUAACUUCAGGAAACUGGGGCUAAUACCGGAUAGGAUCUCCUGCUGCAUGGUGGGGGUUGGAAAGUUUCGGCGGUUGGGGCUGGACUCGCGGCUUAUCAGCUUGUUGGUGUGGUAGUGGCUUACCAAGGCUUUGACGGGUAGCCGGCCUGAGAGGGUGACCGGCCACAUUGGGACUGAGAUACGGCGCAGACGCCUACGGGAGGCAGCAGUGGGGAAUAUUGCACAAUGGGCGGAAGCCUGAUGCAGCAACGCCGCGUGCGGGAUGACGGCCUUCGAGUUGUAAACCGCUUUCGCCUGUGACGAAGCGUGAGUGACGGUAAUGGGUAAAGAAGCACCGGCUAACUACGUG